rnacentral:lncRNA from 1 species
GGAGUUUUGGGCUACCACUUAGAAAGGAAAUGCCUCAUUCGUCAACUCCCUUGAUCGGAGACUUGGGGGACUCCUACCAUAUGCUACUGCAUCUUGAUACUCGGAAGUCUCACGACCAUUCAGUGACUUGGAUUUUUCAAGUCUCCAACCGAGAAGUUUUCCUCACUCAGGAAAUUAAGGGAGCAUUACCUCACCAUACAUGCUUCACUCACAAAGCUUCAACAUACAAGGUUCAACA